AGUGGCAGACGGGUGAGUAAUGUAUAGGAAUCUACCUAGUAGUACGGAAUAAUUGUUGGAAACGGCAACUAAUACCGUAUACGCCCUACGGGGGAAAAAUUUAUUGCUAUUAGAUGAGCCUAUAUUAGAUUAGUUAGUUGGUGAGGUAAAGGCUUACCAAGACAAUGAUCUAUAGCUGAUCUGAGAGGAUGAUCAGCCACACUGGAACUGAGAUACGGUCCAGACUCCUACGGGAGGCAGCAGUGGGGAAUAUUGGACAAUGGGCGAAAGCCUGAUCCAGCCAUGCCGCAUGAGUGAAGAAGGCCUUCGGGUUGUAAAGCUCUUUUAGUGAGGAAGAUAAUGACGGUACUCACAGAAGAAGUCCUGGCUAACUCCGUGCCAGCAGCCGCGGUAAUACGGAGAGGGCUAGCGUUAUUCGGAAUCAUUGGGCGUAAAGGGCGCGUAGGCGGGUUAGUAAGUUAAAAGUGAAAUCCCAAGGCUCAACCUUGGAACUGCUUUUAAAACUGCUAGUCUAGAGAUUGAAAGAGGAUAGAGGAAUUCCUAGUGUAGAGAUGAAAUUCGUAAAUAUUAGGAGGAACACCAGUGGCGAANGCGUCUAUCUGGUUCAAAUCUGACGCUGAGGCGCGAAGGCGUGGGGAGCAAACAGGAUUAGAUACCCUGGUAGUCCACGCUGUAAACGAUGAAUGUUAAAUAUGGGAAGUUUACUUUCUGUAUUAUAGCUAACGCGUUAAACAUUCCGCCUGGAGACUACGGUCGCAAGAUUAAAACUCNNANGAAUUGACGGGG
rnacentral:rRNA from 1 species